AACGAACGCUGGCGGCAUGCCUAACACAUGCAAGUCGAACGAGACCUUCGGGUCUAGUGGCGCACGGGUGCGUAACGCGUGGUAACCUGCCCUUAGGUUCGGAAUAACUCCCCGAAAGGGGUGCUAAUACCGGAUAAUGUCUUCGGACCAAAGAUUUAUCGCCUUUGGAUGGGCCCGCGUUGGAUUAGCUAGUUGGUAGGGUAAAAGCCUACCAAGGCGACGAUCCAUAGCUGGUCUGAGAGGAUGAUCAGCCACACUGGGACUGAGACACGGCCCAGACUCCUACGGGAGGAAGAAGUGGGGAAUAUUGGAAAAUGGGCGAAAGCCUGAUCCAGCAAUGCCGCGUGAGUGAUGAAGGCCUUAGGGUUGUAAAGCUCUUUUACCCGGGAUGAUAAUGACAGUACCGGGAGAAUAAGCUCCGGCUAACUCCGUG
rnacentral:rRNA from 1 species